UUGAGAUCGAUGAAAAAGAAUGAUCGGAGUCGGGAAGAUGAAGCGGUACUCUAACAUCCUCGACAGGCCUCUCAGCAAAGGAAAACAAUAGGUCCUCUCUCUCUCUCUCUCAUGCAUCAAAUUACUCAACCCUGAACUAAAUGGGUGUGGUUUAAUGGAUCUCUGUGUAUUGGGUAAUCGAUUUAAGGGGAAAGAUCGAAACUUUGUACUGAAUUGACCUUCAUUUGAGUGAUGAGGACCUGGGAUUUUAUGCUUUUAUUGAAUUUUACGGUGAUUGAGAUUUUGGCUGUUUGAUGAUUUUGGGAUUUGAUGGUUGUUUCAGGUCAGUUUAAGUGCAUUUGAGUUCUUGUUUUUGGAGCUUGUGCAGUACAAUCAGACAUAGGUUGACAACAUUGUCGAGCUAGAAUGAAGGUAUGACAUCAAUGAAAGCAUAAAUGAGAUGCAGAAGCAAACUUUGGUGACAGGUUUAGUAUUUCACCCUCAUAGGGAUCGUAAGAUUGGAUUAGGAAUCAAAGAUAUAAAGGUUUGGAGCUUUUUGGUGCAUGCAAAUUAGGUAGCUGACUCACUUGAGAAAGGCACUGAACAUAAUAAGGACGGGUACAUGAUUAGUGAGAAGGAACUAAUGCAAGGUACUACAAAUGGAAGCAAGGUUGGGUUGAUGUUAAGGCCACGACUGGAUCAGGAUCUCAUAAUGCAGCCUAGUUUUAGGAGCAUGUACCUAGUUUCUGAUUUGUUUCCUUGUUUUGCUGGGCGUGUUGGCCCCUAUUGUAUAUAAAAAUGUUACUCUAGUUGGAUUAUAAAGUAAUGUUCUGAACUACUUUAUGUAUUGUUAAAAACUUAUGAGAAUGCAUAUUCUUACCUUAUGAGAAUGCAUAUUCUUUUCCUA